CCACCUCGCCGGCGAUGCCCCAGCGAGGGGAUAAGGCCCCGCACCUCCCCGUCUCCUCUUUACCCGCACCCACUCACCCCCGCUCAGCUUGCCCCUCUCCGCCUCCCCUCUCAGAUCCCCUUUUCCCUUCUCGUCAGGCGCGGUCGUCGCCGUCGCCGUGCCACCACCGCGGCCACCGCCACCACGAGGCCUCACCGCCGCGUCCCUCAUCUCCGCCGUAGUCGUCCACAUUGUUUCCGUCCACGAACUCGAGCUGGGAGCCGCUGCAGAGGGCGAAUCGAGCCGUCCCCUUUGCUUCGGUUGCCAUCACUUCUCCGCCGAUCCGCUUUGGUCUGCUGCUCCUAAACUCCCACGGGCCUGCGUAUGUGCCGCUCGGUCAAAAAGAUAUUCGAUAAGCUUAGGAGUUUCUAGGAGAAACCCUUGGAUUUAGGUGUGAAGCUGAAGAACUACAAGGUCAAGAAAGCAGCAGGUCUUACGCCCCAAACUGCAAGGGCUCGAAGUGGAGCAAAAGAUGACGAGACCAAAUUAGAUUUUUGUGCAUUAUAUGGUGUCUUGGCAGAUUUAGAUUCCUAUUAAAAAUGAUACCAUUUUGUUUAUGUUGACUACUAUUUCAACCGCUAGAACAUAUUCUGUAAUUUAGCAUGUUCAGCGCAGUCUGGUUGUGAGUAGAUGUAUUUUAGUUAAGGAAUAUGUGUGCUUGUGGGCACUUGCAGUUUAGCAUUUCGUCAAAUAUUGCUCAGUUGUUCUCCUGUA